ACCCUCAACACACGAAAGAAAGAUCUGAAAGUUAGGGUUUUGCUCUGAUUUUGUGAGAAGAAGAAAAAAGAAAGAAGAAGAAGAUGUUUCUCGGAGGUAUGCCUCGAAAGCCAGACAAAUCAGCUGCACUGAAGCAGCUUCUAAAUCAUGGACUUAUGUUUGCAGGAUUUUGUGGUGUUGUUCGUGUCACUCCUUAUAUCCUCCAUUACCUCUACGCUGAAAACGAACAACUCACACUCGAUAUCGCUAUCUAGUUUCUUACUUUUCAGUGGGUUUGGUUUCUAGAGUAUACAAGGAUGCAGGAAUAGAGGAGCUUUUGGGGGCCUUCAUGAGGGGAUCUACAACGAAUUUGUUUCAAGUUUUCUUAGAUUCAAUUUUUGUUGUCUCUUUAAACUAAGGAACUCCUGCUAUAUGUGUUUUAUAAUAACUGAAGUUUUUUUUAUCCUGUUCCUGUAUGGUUUUUCAUUCGACGACAGUACCUAAUUAAUUCUAUGAAAAAUUUUCGGCAGAGCAUUACUCCAUGGAAAUAAUGUUGUAGUAUUUUGUG